rnacentral:rRNA from 1 species
UACGUAGGGCGCAAGCGUUUGUCCGGAAUCAUUGGGCGUAAAGAGCGUGUAGGCGGCCCGGUAAGUCCGCUGUAAAAGUCAAAGGCUCAACCUUUGAAUGUCAGUGGAUACUGCCGGGCUAGAGUCCGGAAGAGGCGAGUGGAACUCCUGGUGUAGCGGUGGAAUGCGCAGAUAUCAGGAGGAACACCGAUGGCGAAGGCAGCUCUCUGGGACGGUACUGACGCUGAGACGCGAAAGCGUGGGGAGCGAACAGG